rnacentral:lncRNA from 1 species
UGGUCUUACUUUAAUUUAAACCAUGCCAGCUAUCUAGUUUUACCCACAGGCGCUUGGGUAUAUGAUACAGUUAUUUUUUUUUAUUUUUUUGUUGAUUAAGAUAUUCAAUUUUCUAUAUUUAUAAUACAUAUCUAUUACUUCUGUGCAUAUCUCACCUACAGAAAAUACCUAAUUUUGCAAUCCAUAUACUAAGAAAAAUUGGGUAUGGUUUUAUAUACAAGAAAGGCAGUUUAGUAUUCUUUGAUAUCAAGUUCAAUUCUCCAUGCAGAAACGACCACUUUUUUUCUGUUUCCAGUAGCAUCGUAUAUUCUUAAAAUAUUUUCUUGCAUAAUAAAAUUAAAAUUGAGACUGGAAAUGGGGAAUGUAUAAAAGAGACAACAACCCGACCAUAGAAAAAAAACAACAGCAGAAGGUCACCAACAGGUCUUCAAUGUAGCGAGAAUGCCUGGACAUCGAUUGACAUGCAAAACAUUACACAGUGUGACACGUUUACAAAUGAAAAUCAACACCCAGACUAGUCAGUGGCGGAUUCAAGGGGGGGGUUCCGGGGGUUGGAACCCCCCCUUUUUUGGACGAUCAAUGCAUUUGAAUGGGAGCAUAUAGUUGGAACUCCCCCUUUACUCUGGGUUGGGAACCCUCUUUUUAAAAUGGCUGGAUCUGCCACUGCUAGUCAUAAAUGAACAAAAGACAAAACCGGGACACAGAAGUACAAACAACAGACCAUCAACUCUGAAAACCAAAAGUAAAAUAGAAACAUGGAUUACGAAAAAUAUGCAAUGGCGACAUCAGAGAGGGAAGAUAACUUGUUUCUUGCAAGAAACUUUCAGUGAAAACAAUUUGAAAUGAAGAUAAUCAUAUGAAGACAAGCUUUUUUCUUUUUUUUUUUUUUUUGUUUGAAAUUUAAAACAUGAGGCAUUUGCCUCAUUUGCCUCAAUGUAGU